rnacentral:rRNA from 1 species
AACGAACGCUGGCGGCAUGCCUAACACAUGCAAGUCGAACGAGACCUUCGGGUAUAGUGGCGCACGGGUGAGUAACGCGUGGUAACCUGCCCUUAGGUUCGGAAUAACUCCCCGAAAGGGGUGCUAAUACCGGAUAAUGUCAUCGGACCAAAGAUUUAUCGCCUUUGGAUGGGCCCGCGUUGGAUUAGCUAGUUGGUAGGGUAAAAGCCUACCAAGGCGAGGAUCCAUAGCUGGUCUGGGAGGAUGAUCAGCCACACUGGGACUGAGACACGGCCCAGACUCCUACGGGAGGCAGCAGUGGGGAAUAUUGGACAAUGGGCGAAAGCCUGAUCCAGCAAUGCCGCGUGAGUGAUGAAGGCCUUAGGGUUGUAAAGCUCUUUUACCCGAGAUGAUAAUGACAGUACCGGGAGAAUAAGCGCCGGCUAACUACGUG